rnacentral:rRNA from 1 species
AGCAGCCGCGGUAACACCAGCGCCUCGAGUGGGAAUCGCGAUUAUUGGGCCUAAAGCGUCCGUAGCCGGUUUGAUAAAUCUUUAGUGAAAUCGGUCAGCUUAACUGAUCGGCGUGCUAGAGACACUGUCAGACUAGGAACCGGGAGGAGCCAGAGGUAUGUGAGGGGGAGCGGUAAAAUGCAAUAAUCCUUUACAGACCACCUGUGGCGAAGGCGUCUGACCAGAACGGAUUCGACGGUGAGGGACGAAAGCUGGGGGAGCGAACCGGAUUAGAUACCCGAGUAGUCCUGGCUGUAAACGCUGCGAGCUAGGUGUUGCACAUUCUAUAUGGAUGUGCAGUGUCGGAGCGAAGGUGUUAAGCUCGCCGCCUGGGAAGUACGGUCGCAAGGCUGAAACUUAAAGGAAUUGGCGGGGGAGCACCACAAGGGGUGCGGCGUGCGGUUUAAUCUAAUUCAACACAGAGAAUCUCACCAGAAGCGACGGCAGGAUGAAAGUCAGAUUGAAGGUCUUACUUGACGAGCCGAGAGGUAGUGCAUGGCCGCCGUCAGCUCGUGCUGUAAGGUGUCCUGUUAAGUCAGGCAACGAGCGAGACCUGUGCCUACAAUUGCCAUUGACCUUUGGGAUCAAGCACAUUGUAGGGACUGCCCGUGAAAACGGGAGGAAGGUGCAGGCUACGGUAGGUCUGUAUGCUCCGAAUCUUCUGGGCUACACGCGCGCAACAAUGGUAUGGACAAUGGGAUACGACUCCGAAAGGAGAAGUUAAGCCUUUAAACCAUAUCCAAGUACAGAUUGAGGAUUGUAAUUCAUCCUCAUGACGAUGGAAUCCCUAGUAAUCGGGUAUCAUCAAUGCCCGGUGAAUAUGUCCCUGCUCCU